GACGAACGCUGGCGGCGUGCUUAACACAUGCCAGUCGAACGGAAAGGCCCUGCUUUUGUGGGGUGCUCGAGUGGCGAACGGGUGAGUAACACGUGGGUAACCUGCCCUUGACUUUGGGAUAACUUCAGGAAACUGGGGCUAAUACCGGAUAGGAGCUCCUGCUGCAUGGUGGGGGUUGGAAAGUUUCGGCGGUUGGGGAUGGACUCGCGGCUUAUCAGCUUGUUGGUGGGGUAGUGGCUUACCAAGGCUUUGACGGGUAGCCGGCCUGAGAGGGUGACCGGCCACAUUGGGACUGAGAUACGGCCCAGACUCCUACGGGAGGCAGCAGUGGGGAAUAUUGCACAAUGGGCGGAAGCCUGAUGCAGCAACGCCGCGUGCGGGAUGACGGCCUUCGGGUUGUAAACCGCUUUCGCCUGCGACGAAGCGUGAGUGACGGUAAUGGGUAAAGAAGCACCGGCUAACUACGUG
rnacentral:rRNA from 1 species